rnacentral:piRNA from 1 species
UAAAAAAUGCGUUUAGUAGUU